UUUUUUUUUCUCUUUUUGAAUCUAUGCUCUACGUUUCACUUGGGCAGCCUUAAUAUCUGAAGAGAAUACAAAUGGGGCUUAGUUCAUAGGUCCUUUUCUGAAACCUGCUUUAUUUGGUCUCUCAGGUCUAAGAGCCAUGCGCUGAUCUACUUACCAUGGACUGUCCUGAGAACAGCAUGUCCCCUUGCCAACAUUUGCCAAACAGAUAUCAGCCUAUGAAUCGAAAGUCUCCAUGAAGCAAUUUCCAGCUGAGGCAAAGCAUUCAGAGCCCCCACUGUCUUAAUCGGCAGUGUCUUUUUCAACCCAUCUAAAUGCUGCCCAUGGUCCACAAAAUAAUCCAUUUCAACAUCAGCUGCUGAGACCUAUGAUUCACCUCAUCCACUUCAACUCUUUGCAGGCUGGAGCCCAUGCUAGUUCCAUUGCCUAAUGGUGGCUACGAAUGUGUCCCUCCAAAUUCCUGCACUGAAGGACAAAGCAGUAGCUAUAAAUUUCACUAAGACCUGAUGUUAAAGCUAUUUAGUGUUUCUUAGGACUCUGAAGCAUUUAUUUCUGCCCCACAUAGAAGCUGUUCUCCACAAUGAAAUGGGAAGACUUCUCAAAAGAAAGCAUUUGAUGAUCUAGCUGGUAGAAACAGAAAUGAUUAAAACAGAGGCAAAGAAUACACAUGUUGCUAUUACCUUAAUGAUUAAAACAUGUAGCUCAUUAAUUUAAGCUGACAGUGGGCCCUUUUGUGGGUAGACAAUUCAUAUGUAAUGUCUUACUCCAGCUGAAGAGACUUCUCCCGUGCCAAGCCUGGCUCCCCAUUUCUUUUAUUACUGAGAAGCCAUUGGUACAGUCCAAAAUGAUUAAAGCCAUAGAGAUUGAAUUGCAGACAAAGAACUUCAUACUGGAUCAGGAAUGAGAAAAUAAAACUCCAACCAAGUAUAGGACUCAAGGGACUUAACGAUCAAAAUAUUCAAUUUUCUUUAAGUUGGAAAAUUCAACUUUCUAGUUUAUAACAUGUUAGAAAAAAUAACUGACAUGGUCUAUUAAUACAUUAAUACUUUUUCUGUGUAAGGAGUUCCUCCAGGGUCCCUAAAAGAGAACCCUUAAAAUCAUGUAUGUAUUGUGCACAAAAUGUCAGAAGUAUAAGGAAAUUAAUGAAACAGAUUCCUGGAUCCAGUUCUCCUUGUCCAUAGCUAUCCAAACCUGGAGAAACUUGUAAACUUGAUCACUGGGAUAAUGAUCAGCAAAACAGCACCUAAAAUAUUUAAUCAUAAAACAGAGCAGCAAAAUUAAUUUCUCACAAAAAUUACAAAAAUAAAAUUCUCCAAAUCAUCUCCAUAUAUGUAAUCCACAAAAAAGAAAAUUUCUUGGGACGCCUGGGUGGCUCAGUGGUUGAGCAUCUGCCUUUGGCUCAGGGUGUGAUUCCAGGGUCCUGGGAUCGAGUCCCACAUCAGGCUCCCUGAGGGGAGCCUGCUUUUCCCUCUGCCUGUGUCUCUGCCUCUCUCUCUCUCUGUGUCUCUCAUGAAUAGAUAAAUAAAAUCUUUUUUAAAAAUUUUAAAAAAUAAAAAUAAAAAAGAUUUCUUUUGCACAAAACAAACAAGAAUAAUUCAAACCUCCACUAUCACUCAAAAAGCACAGAAAUUAUAUUCUAUUGCUAGUACUCUGCAUCGAAUUUUUAAAAUCCAUUUAAACCACUUCUCAAUCACCAGACUUGGGUCUUGUUCUUUUUCUUCUUAAGCUGUAACUAAUAUAUUAAAGCAAACUGUACCCUUACAUGAUGUUAAGAUUACCCAUAGAGGAAAUUCCCACCCCCUCUGUUAUACAUCUUCUUUCACACUGCAUCCAUUCCCAUAGGACCAUCUUUACUGAGUUCAUGAUACAGAUCAACUGAGGGAAGGGCACAAUUCUUGGGAUACUUUCAAGUGCUUCUUUAAAUGCAAAUGGCUCCUGUUGAGAUAAAUCUUAUUUUAACCAAAUGGUAAAUUUCAUUCUGAUAUUCUGCUGUUUGAAGGCCAGCUCUUUCAAUGUAAGGACAAUCAUGACAAAUGCCAUAUGAAUCUUCCCCACUUGACUGUGGAUGCGUUCUUCUUAAGUCAAAAUAAGUUUAUCUUGAUUAAUAAAAUACACAAGAACUCUUAAAUAGACUAUGUCUGAUGCAACCCACUCCACCUCUGUGUUGAUUUGAGAGCUGUAUUGCCUAUGAAGACAAAGAGAUUAAUUAUUAGUUCUUAUUUGUAUAGAUGAGACCUAUUUCUGGUUGAUACUUCCUCUGGCUUGGUAAAGUUGGCAACAUGAUAUUGAUGCCUAAGAGUAAUGUUCCCAGCAAAAUCUUGGUAAUUUUAUUUUUUUAAAGAUUUUAUUUAUUAGAUAGAGAGAAAGAGCAUGUGCACAGGCAAGUGGGGGGAGAAGCAGGAUUCCCACUGAACAGGGAGCCUGACGUGGGGCUCGAUCCCAGGACUCUGGGAUCAUGACCUGAAUAGAAGGCAGAACCUUAACUGACUGAGCCACCCAGACAGCCCAAAAUCUUGGUAAUUUUAGAUGACUUCUUUCAUUUAAAUUCCUGCUAUUUAACAGGUUUCACAAUGCAUUUGUUAUAUGAUGCCUCAAUUUUAGAACUUUUAGUUUAGGACCAGCACAAAUAGUUCAGCUAAUGAAAUAAUGAUUUUUUCAUGCUGUACUACAUGGUAAUUUAAAGCAUUUCUAUUAAACAAACUGUCUCAUUAGAGCUCCUGAUGAUGCUUUGAUAUGGUCAGAAAUCCCAUGGAUGCUACUGGAAUGCACUCUAACUAUCAUAUGAACAAGCUAAAGAAGAUUACCAUAAGCCAAACAUUUUAGAGUAUUCAAACGACCUACUUUAAACCCUUUGAAGCUAUUUGGUGGAGUGGACCCAAGAUAAAUUACUCUUGUUUAACAAGUACCUUCCAAUUUAUGUUCCAAAAGGCAUCUAAGUUCUACCACUGAGAUUUAUUUGAAAAAUUCUAUUUUUUCUCCUAUCCUAUCUGAAGAUUACUUGUAUGAUCUUAUCAAUGUUACUUUGUAACAUUCUUAUUGUCCUAUUACUACUUUGUUUCUCACAGGAUAGGCUAAUAAUGAAUAUUAUAAUAAAGACUUGACUGUUUCAUAUCGUAUUCCCUUUUUUUCCCAACAGAUUCUAGACUCAUUUGGGUAUUUCUCUAGGAAACUAAAGAUUAAGGAUACAAGUAAACUAAGUUGGUAAAAGUAUCACUGAGAUACUCUUUUUAAAAAAAAAAAUCUAUGCCCAAUGUGGGGCUCGAACUCAGGACCCUGAGAUCAUGUGCUACCAGCUGAGCCAGCCAGGCACCCCUCAUUGGGAAUAUUAAGAUAAAUGUUGUUACUUUAUUUUUUUAUUUGAAUUCAAUUAGCCAACAUAUAGUACAUCAUUAGUUUCAAAUGUAGUGUUCAAUAAUUCAUCAGUUGCAUAUGACACCCAGUGAUCAUCACAUCAUGUGCCCUCCUUAAUGCCCGUCACCCAAUUACCCCACUCCCCCAUCCUCAUCCCCUCUAGCAACUCUCAGUUUGUUUCCUAUGGUGAAGAGUCAUCAGAGAAGGAGAAAAACUAUGAAAAUUGUUGUUACUUUAAUUUAAAUAUUCAAAUGCCUUCUUAUAAAUAAGCUGAAGGUUUAAGAAGAUAAGAAAUUGUUACUUUCAUUAUGGUUAAAAAUAGAUGAAAAAAUAAAUUUUUAAUGUUCUUAACAUAAGCAAGAAGUGAAAUUUGUAAACUUUUUAUGUCACCAAAACAACUAGCUUCUUGAAUUUAAAUACCUGUUGAUUUGAUUUAAAUAUCAGAUUCAUUAUUGUAGAUGGCAAUCUGCCCAAGGAGGUAAAAAAUGGUUUUCAUGAACACAUACCUGUGUUGCCACAAAAUCUCUAGAGCCUGGACAUCAACUAACCAAAAGUAAUAUAAUCUCACCAUUGCUCUUAUAACAAGAGAGGUCAUCAUCUGGUCUUUAAAUCGAAUACUAAAUGUUAAGUCUGUGUAAUAAUCCCUAAAGCACUAUUCUAACUAAUAGGUAUUAAGAAAAUGGUAGUCAUCCACAUAACAUAUUUAACCAUCUUUGUCUCAGGUGCCUCUUCAAGGCACAUGAAAUCAGUUUUUCCCAUGUAAUUCUCUGAAUCUCUGAGUUCUGAAAAUACUUCUCUUUUCCACUCACCUGGCUGCCCAAAGUGGCAGAUACAAUAACGUUAACUUCACAUUAAUCCUGAAAGCUGGAGCACAUCAAAUUAAACAUCACCCAAAUAUCUUUUUUCCUAGGCAACCCAAAUCAGGCUUUUAAAAAAGCACAUCUUCCAAACCAAUUUAAAGUUCAAGCUAUCUAUGUGUGUGUGUAUGUUUUCUAAGCCAUGUAUUUUUGAAAGCUGAACACAGACAAAGCCUGAACAGAACAUCCAAAUAGCCUCUCAACUGAUACAUCAUUCAGUUUAAAUUCCUGCCAGGAAUCUGAUUUUGUGAGUCCUUGUUAAUUACCAAGCUUUCCAAACUUUCUGUAAUGACCUCUGAUGCACAAAGAAAUCUACCCAUCAUAUAACCAGUCUCCAAAGCAAAAAGUGAGCAGAAAAUUGAGGCAAGCACCCAGGGAAUUCAGGCAAAACCUCACAGCUUGUUUUGUAUCUCCUUUUAAAUAUCACAACCCCAGAGUAAGACAGCAAAUAAUUGAUAGGCAAUGUAGAAAAGAGUGAUGGGAUUGAAACCCUGCAGGGACUGACCCAGAAAGACAGAUAAAAGGAACUGAGUGGAGACUGGUUGCUCCAUCUUAACACAGUCCUGAGAGGUAGCUAUUUCUGAGAUCUAGCCCUGUCUAAUCCCUCCAUGACUUCAAACAUAUUGCUCAAUGUUUCUAUUUUGGUAAUUCUUACUUUUUCAAACGAGGAUAAUAAGAUAUAGGUUCAGUUUCAUCUCUGAGCUGAGGUGCAUUCAAAAGGCAUCCUUCUAGCUUGUUUUUUUCUCUAGGAGGCAAUCUUCCAUGGAAGCCUUCCCAGGGAGAUCCCUUUGUGACCAAAAAGGAAGU
rnacentral:lncRNA from 1 species